AACGAGCGCUGGCGGCAGGCUUAACACAUGCAAGUCGAACGAGAUCUUCGGAUCUAGUGGCAGACGGGUGAGGAACACGUGGGAACAUCCCUUUCAGUUCGGAAUAACGUUGGGAAACUAACGCUAAUACCGGAUACGUCCUUCGGGAGAAAGAUUUCUCGCUGAAAGAUUGGCCCGCGUCUGAUUAGCUAGUUGGUGAGGUAAUGGCUCACCAAGGCUACGAUCAGUAGCUGAUCUGAGAGGAUGAUCAGCCACAUUAGGACUGAGACACGGCCCAAACUCCUACGGGAGGCAGCAGUGGGGAAUAUUGGACAAUGGGCGCAAGCCUGAUCCAGCCAUGCCGCGUGAGUGAUGACGGCCUUCGGGUUGUAAAGCUCUUUUGUCCGGGAAGAUAAUGACUGUACCGGAAGAAUAAGCCCCGGCAAACUUCGUGCCAGCCGCCGCGGUAAGAC
rnacentral:rRNA from 1 species